GUGUCCUCUCUGCCUGCAGGAAGCUUUUAUUUCAUCCUACCUCCUUGUGUGGCAGCAGUAGGAAAAAAACUGCAACAGUAAAGCUUUAGUUCCACUGGUUGGACUGUUUCUUGAGAUGCAUGUCCAAAUCUGAAGUUGGAUGUGCAGUCUGGGAUUUUAUUACAGACACGAGUGAAAUAACUAAAAGACAAGAGCCAAGGUUGAUUACACAGUCCGUACAACAAUAACAGUAUAAAUCUUUCUCAAUAUUGUCAUAUUCAAUAAAUAAGAAUUGUAUUUACUUUAGUAACUCAGUUCACCAAGUGAAACACAUUACACACUGU